GCCGGCGCGGUGACGCGCGCCUGUAGACCCAGCUACUCGGGAGGCUGAGGCAGGAGGAUCGCUUGAGCCCAGGAGUUCUGGGCUGUAGUGCGCUAUGCCGAUCGGGUGUCCGCACUAAGUUCGGCAUCAAUAUGGUGACCUCCCGGGAGCGGGGGACCACCAGGUUACCUAAGGAGGGGUGAACCGGCCCAGGUCGGAAACGGAGCAGGUCAAUACUAGUUCUCUGAGUGCCCUGAUUAAAAGAUAGAGAUUUAUAGUGUGACUCAAAGACAAGAUCCAACUACAU
rnacentral:SRP_RNA from 1 species